ACGAGUGUUUAAAUUGUUAGGUUAGAGUUGAGCUGGUUAAUCUAAUUAAUAUGUGCUUAGACUCGUAAUCCGAAACAAGUCCACUCAUUACUUAACACUUGUGAACUUAUUCAUUACAAACAUUAUUAUUUGUUAUAUUGGAACGUUAUGAUUAUUAAAAAAGUUAAUGAC
rnacentral:misc_RNA from 1 species